rnacentral:rRNA from 1 species
UACAGAGGGUGCAAGCGUUGUUCGGAAUUAUUGGGCGUAAAGGGAGUGUAGGCGGUUGGGAAAGUCUUCUGUGAAAUCUACGGGCUCAGCCUGUAACGUGCAGAGGAAACUACUCGGCUUGAGUGUCGGAGAGGAUAGGGGAAUACCCGGUGUAGAGGUGAAAUUCGUAGAGAUCGGGUGGAACACCAGUGGCGAAGGCGGCGAUCUGGGAAGAUACUGACGCUGAGGUGCGAAAGCGUGGGGAGCAAACAGG